rnacentral:tRNA from 1 species
GCCUAGUUAGCUUAGUUGGUAGUGCGACUGCCUCGUAAGCGCUAGGCCGCGGGUUCGAUUCCCGCCCGGGGCG